UUGGUGCCUGCCUUUUGAACCAGAGCCUGAUCAAUCUGCUUUCGAGGAGAGAUCAGAGAGUGUGGUAUGUCGAUUAGGGCUCGGAGCUAGUUGUCGGUCAACUAGGAGUUGGGACUGAUAGUUUUCCGACCAAAGCUUGGUUAGAUGGAUUGAUCGGAAGACUAACUGACUCGCAGUUGUUAUGCUUACCAGAGAUUGUUUCGAUAUGCAAGCCGAGUAGGGAUCGGAUGCGACUGAAGAUCGACCAGCA
rnacentral:lncRNA from 1 species